GUGCGGUGUGGUUGACGUGUUUGCAAAUGGCCUCAAUGCUUGGCUCCUGCGUUUGUUUUCUCCUUCGUUCUUUUUCACCAUCACGUGGCUGUGUAGAUCGAUCGAAUCAACGUGCUUUGGAUAUAGCAAAAUGAGAAGGGUAAAAAGGAUAUACCGCUGGAAGACAGAUAAAUGCGCGAGAAUUGGAGAUUUAUCACACUCUUGGAACUCGAAGCGCAUUGUCGUUAGUUUCGAUAACUUAUCGACAGCGAUUGUUUCGAGUGAAGAAGAGACACGGCUGAUGAAAAUUAAAGGCUGACGGAAAGUGCUUCGGGCUUGGACGGGUUUUUUACAAUUUUUCCUCCCUUCCGUCUCCCUAAUCUUGUGGCAGUACGCAACUUAUAUAUGUUAGUUUCUUCCCGGAACCAAUAUUCGAUUCCUCUGGACACGCGAUGUUUUUUGUUUACGAAACUAGAGGCUCAUAAAGUUUUUUCCAGUCGGUAAGGUAGGCGAAGGAUCGAGAAUUGAAAGUUCGAAUGGGAAGUUUGUACGAGGGGACACGAGAACCGAAAAAGACACCCGCGAGCGAGAUCAAUACCUCGCCGGUGCAAUGUACUCCCGCGGUCUCCUCGUUGCAGCUCGAUUGAUUGUUCGCGAACGAAAAACGAGUGGCGAACGGAAAAAGCGAACCGGAAGUGAAAACCAUCUAUAUGAGUAAAGAAGAAGCUGUACUUUUAAUCAAACUUUAACACACGAGCUAUGUGUGCAAUUAAUUUGGAGAGUGGAGAAUAAAGAGAAAGGAGGAAACUUAAAUGUAAUUAAGAUCACUUUAGUAGUUGGUAAAACAUUUGGUUCGUGGCAGUGGAACCGAAAGUAAUAAUGUUUCUUAUCGUAUCGUGGAAAAAGAGAAUGUAGCCAAGUUGGCGGCUUUUUCCAAAUUGAAUCGAAGCAAACGGUGAGAACGCUAGGAAGGGAAGACGGAAACGGAAACUAGUUCCGGCCAAGAUCAAUACCUAAGUUGUGCAACAGACUGUCUGGCGCAAGCCUUGUUCCUUGCUUGCGUGUUCCCCGUGCGCGGCACGCAGCGUGCAACGCCUCGUUGCAACCGGUGCAACGUGCAAUGCCACGAUUUACUCGCGUCACGGACACACGCAUGGCUACUCUUAUCUAGCCGGCU